rnacentral:pre_miRNA from 1 species
CAGAUACUCCCUCCGUUCGGAAUUACUUGUCGUAGAAAUGGAUGUAUUUAGAUGUACUUUAGUUCUAGAUACAUCCAUUUUCGAGACAAGUAAUUCCGAACGGAGGGAGUAUAUA